UACAGAGGGUGCGAGCGUUAAUCGGAAUUACUGGGCGUAAAGCGUGCGUAGACGGUUAUUUAAGUCGGAUGUGAAAGCCCCGGGCUCAACCUGGGAAUUGCAUUUGUGACUGCAUGGCUGGAGUGCGGCAGAGGGGGAUGGAAUUCCGCGUGUAGCAGUGAAAUGCGUAGAUAUGCGGAGGAACACCGAUGGCGAAGGCAAUCCCCUGGGCCUGCACUGACGCUCAUGCACGAAAGCGUGGGGAGCAAACAGG
rnacentral:rRNA from 1 species